UCGGAUAUAGCUCAGUGGUAGAGCACUUGCCUGGCAUGCAUGAGUCUUUGUUUCAAUUCUAAGUAACACAA
rnacentral:tRNA from 1 species